UUAUGGCGCGUAAGGAUAUCAUGCGAAUUUGUGUAUUUUUUUGGACUCUCCCUCUUCACGACUCUAUGACUCUCUCCUCUCGUUUCGGGACUGUUUCUCACACUUCUCUCACUCUCUCUCAAUCUCUCCCAUCUUCACGAAGAAUAGGUAACCUCAUUUCCCUUCACCUUUCUCCCUUCUCCCUUCACCGACGACUGUCUCUCAUUCCACGCCGCCAACACCAGUUCAUACAUUGGACGAUAUCUUCAAAUCUUGAGUUGAAUCUCCAUUGGAUGGCAGCUCAAAUUUUUAAUUUGAGCUUUCAUUUAAUUUUUUGAUUCAGAAUUUGAUCUUAAACAAAAUGCUAGAUCUUGACUGAGUGAAACUCUGCCCCAACGACUGAGAAGCAUCGACACAGGAGGCUAAAUGCUCAUUGUUCUUUGGCCGUGUUUAGGUAUAAUUAGCUGCCAUUGCUCAUCCUUUUUUUUUCAGUUUCCUUUGAUGUAGGGUUUUAAAUGUCUAUUUAUCCACGCCCAAAUAUUUCCUAACGAAUGCAUAUUUCAGGUUCAUUUGCUUUACUUUUUUCAACCCGUGUUUCUUAACCUUGACUCUAUUUGUUUGUAAGAUCCAUGCUUGUUCC